rnacentral:sRNA from 2 species
GCGCCCGUCGUUGGGGAGUAGCCGAUUUCCUUACCCGGGAAAUGUAUACGUCAACAUACUCGUUUAAAAAAACGUGGCGUAUACGGAUCAUCUUCUGCAUUGCCGAAGGUGCUCAGGCGAGACCAUUGAUACAUCAACUGCUGUUUACUGGGGGCAGUGAUGUGUCAUAUGGAUUAUCCCCGGUCAGGACU